UACGAAGGGGGCUAGCGUUGUUCGGAUUUACUGGGCGUAAAGCGCACGUAGGCGGAUCGUUAAGUCGGGGGUGAAAUCCUGGAGCUCAACUCCAGAACUGCCUUCGAUACUGGCGAUCUUGAGUCCGGAAGAGGUGAGUGGAACUCCUAGUGUAGAGGUGGAAUUCGUAGAUAUUCGGAAGAACACCAGUGGCGAAGGCGGCUCACUGGCCCGGUACUGACGCUGAGGUGCGAAAGCGUGGGAGCAAACAGG
rnacentral:rRNA from 1 species